UAAAGUGGGUAGCCUAAUUUAAAUUUCCGAAAUUUGAAGCGGAGGAACCAAUUUUUGGGGCUUAUCUUGUAAAAGGAUAAAGGAUAAAUGAGAAACUGCGUUUUCUUAGUUCAUUCUUCAUACUUCCGAUUUCAAGAGAGACACCUUCCAGUCUUAGCCCGUCAGCUAACUCCGUAGGCAAUGGAAGGAACC
rnacentral:sRNA from 2 species